GCAUCGAUGAAGAACGCAGCGAAAUGCGAUACGUAGUGUGAAUUGCAGAAUUCCGCGAAUCAUCGAGUCUUUGAACGCAAGUUGCGCCCGAGGCUUGUCCGAGGGCAUUUCCGCUAGAGCGUCACCGCGCCCCCCACCGAUCCGCUCCCGCCGCGAGGCGCCAGUCGGUUCGAGUGGAAGUGGCCGUCCCGGUCGCGAUCUUCGCGAGCGAGGGUCGGCUGAAAUGGAUGGAAUCGGGCCGCCGUGGUGACACAGUCCGCGAUCGGGUGAUUUUCCGCGAGCCUCCCCCCGGGAGGGUCGCCGUGAAUUUUUCUAAGUGCGUGGCUGCGUCCCCCAGUUGGUUUCGGCUCCCUCGUGCAGGUCGUGCGCGCCCCCGCGGCGCGCGUCACGCAUCAGACCUCUAAUCG
rnacentral:rRNA from 1 species